CAAUUUCAAUGAUGACUGACAAUGUUUGGAAGUUGGAAUUGCGAUGCACUAGAGCACAUAGUAACAGAUGAGGAGCAUGGUCAUGAUCGUG